GUGCUUGUUUUGGGAGCACAUACAUUAAAAGUGGCAUGAUAUAGUGAAUGAUAUGGAGUGGAGUGUCCCUUACACAAGAAUGACACACAAAUUUGUGAAACAUUGCAUAUUUUU
rnacentral:snRNA from 1 species